rnacentral:lncRNA from 1 species
GGGCCGCCUCCUCCGCGGGAGGCCCGCGGCGCCCGCUCCGUGUGAGGCGGCGGGGCCCGGCCGCGCCUCCCGGCCCGAGCGGAGCCCCGCGGGCGCUGUCGCAGCCCGGUGUUUUACCCGUGCUUCGCUCCCUCCGCGGAGGGAGCAGCUCGCGAGGAGCGGGAGCGGCGCGGGGUGUCAGGAAAAGGAAGGGGUCGCUGAGUGUUCCAGGGCGAAAACUUCACUGUAGCUGAUGAGUAUUUGUUGACCCGUGAAGAAUUCUGUAGUAAAACUGAAAAAGAAAACUUUUGCCAGCAGCCACUGUGUUGGGAACACAGAACGAUGGAAAAAAGAAAACCUUGGCUGUCAGUGUAGGCCUGUGUACCUGAUGGCGCGUCCUACAGAGAGCAGAUCUGAAAGGCAAGAUUCACUUGAAUAUCUUCAAGCAGUCGGUUUCAGGGUACCUGCAGAGAAUGCUGGCCUUGGAUUUUCACUGAGCUGGUGCUUAGUACUGGUGGUAGAGGAGAGCUUUGGCCUCCUCUCCCAACACAUUCAUCCCUGGCCCAAUGCUGAUGGGCAGUGCUGUGCUUGCCAGAAGGUUUGGUCUUCCCAGUUGUGUCAGUUUGUCAGCCUAAGUGACUUUGUCAUCACCCAGCACCUCCUGAUGAUGAACAGCAGCUAAUGCCCUUGUGAAUAAAUUCACCACUGAAAGCUAAAUCUCUGGAAAU